rnacentral:rRNA from 1 species
CCCUUAGAUGUCCUGGGCCGCACGCGCGUUACACUGAUGCAUUCAACGAGCUUAUAACCUUGGCCGAGAGGCCUGGGCAAUCUUGUUAACUUGCAUCGUGAUAGGGAUAGAUUAUUGAAAUUAUUAAUCUUGAACGAGGAAUUCCUAGUAAACGCAGAUCAUCAAUCUGCAUUGAUUACGUCCCUGCCCUUUGUACACACCGCCCGUCGCACCUACCGAUUGGAUGGUCCGGUGAAGCCUCGGGAUUGUGGUUCUUGCCGCUUUAUUGUGGCGUGACCGCGAGAACUUGUCUAAACCUUAUCAUCUAGAGGAAGGUGAAGUCGUAACA